AAGGGGUAGAUUGAGGAGACUAGGU
rnacentral:piRNA from 1 species